rnacentral:rRNA from 1 species
CCUACGGGUGGCAGCAGUAGGGAAUCUUCCACAAUGGGCGAAAGCCUGAUGGAGCAACGCCGCGUGGGUGAAGAAGGUCUUCGGAUCGUAAAACCCUGUUGUUAGAGAAGAAAGUGCGUGAGAGUAACUGUUCACGUUUCGACGGUAUCUAACCAGAAAGCCACGGCUAACUACGUGCCAGCAGCCGCGGUAAUACGUAGGUGGCAAGCGUUAUCCGGAUUUAUUGGGCGUAAAGGGAACGCAGGCGGUCUUUUAAGUCUGAUGUGAAAGCCCUCGGCUUAACCGGAGUAGUGCAUUGGAAACUGGGAGACGUGAGUGCAGAAGAGGAGAGUGGAACUCCAUGUGUAGCGGUGAAAUGCGGAGAUAUAUGGAAGAACACCAGUGGCGAAGGCGGCUUACUGGUCUGUAACUGACGCUGAGGUUCGAAAGCGUGGGUAGCAAACAGGAUUAGAUACCCCAGUAGUC